GCUCCCAUGGCGUAGUGGUCACUGCGCUCGCCUUGCACGAGGGAGACCCGGGUUCGAUUCCCGGCGGGGUCA
rnacentral:tRNA from 1 species